rnacentral:rRNA from 1 species
UACGGAGGAUCCAAGCGUUAUCCGGAAUCAUUGGGUUUAAAGGGUCCGCAGGCGGACUUAUAAGUCAGUGGUGAAAGCCUACAGCUUAACUGUAGAACUGCCAUUGAUACUGUAAGUCUUGAAUUCGGUCGAAGUGGGCGGAAUAUGACAUGUAGCGGUGAAAUGCUUAGAUAUGUCAUAGAACACCGAUAGCGAAGGCAGCUCACUAGGCCUGGAUUGACGCUCAUGGACGAAAGCGUGGGGAGCAAACAGG